rnacentral:lncRNA from 1 species
GCCGUAUCUUUUAUAGAUCGUGUAGCACAGCGCUGGAUGAAGUCCACACACAUGGAUUAAUUGAUGGACCUUGGGUUUAUGGAGCUACCUUUUCAUGACCUGCUUUUCCUACAGUUUCUAAGAAGAAAAGGGGGCCUCUGAAUCAAAGAAGAUGCCUCGAACUAAACAGAUUCAUCCCAGAAAUCUAAGAGACAAAAUUGAAGAAGCACAAAAAGAACUAAAUGGGGCAGAAGUGUCAAAAAAAGGUAAGUUAAAAUCAACCCCAGUAUAGGCUUUAUUCUUGCAGAGAUUCCUGUAUAAA